rnacentral:rRNA from 1 species
AUACCGUGAAACUGCGAAUGGCUCAUUAAAUCAGUUAUCGUUUAUUUGAUAGUACCUUACUACUUGGAUAACCGUGGUAAUUCUAGAGCUAAUACAUGCUGAAAACCCCGACUUCGGGAGGGGUGUAUUUAUUAGAUAAAAAACCAACGCCCUUCGGGGCUUCUUGGUGAUUCAUGAUAACUUCACGGAUCGCAUGGCCUUGCGCCGGCGACGGUUCAUUCAAAUUUCUGCCCUAUCAACUUUCGAUGGUAAGGUAUUGGCUUACCAUGGUUUCAACGGGUAACGGGGAAUUAGGGUUCGAUUCCGGAGAGGGAGCCUGAAAAACGGCUACCACAUCCAAGGAAGGCAGCAGGCGCGCAAAUUACCCAAUCCCGACACGGGGAGGUAGUGACAAUAAAUACUGAUACAGGGCUCUUUUGGGUCUUGUAAUUGGAAUGAGUACAAUUUAAACCUCUUAACGAGGAACAAUUGGAGGGCAAGUCUGGUGCCAGCAGCCGCGGUAAUUCCAGCUCCAAUAGCGUAUAUUAAAGUUGUUGCAGUUAAAAAGCUCGUAUUUGAAACUUGGGCCUGGCUGGCAGGUCCGCCUCACCGCGUGUACUUGUCCGGCCGGGCCUUUCCUUCUGGAGAACCUCAUGCCCUUCACUGGGUGUGCUGGAGAACCAAGACUUUUACUUUGAAAAAAUUAGAGUGUUCAAAGCACGCCUUUGCUCGAAUACGUUAGCAUGGAAUAAUAAAAUAGGACGUGCGGUCCUAUUUUGUUGGUUUCUACGACCGCCAUAAUGAUUAAUAGGGACAGUCGGGGGCAUC